UGGAUAGAUGUCUAUCAAAUUCAAAAGGAAAGAAUCUUAACAAACUAGACACUGUUGUUCAGAUAUAAAGAUUAAUCCAGACAUCCUGAAAUAGGAACAAACGCAACAGACAUGGCACCCAUAAGUCUUCCCUGAAAAAAGUAACUGAUGAAAAAUUACUCCAAACAAGUUGAGUCAAAAUAAAGAAUUUAGGAAUAGACAGACUGUAGUAAAAACUGGUGAUAAACACUGCAUUCAUUUAAAUAUGAAACUAAGAUGAGACAACCAACAGAACAGCAGUUGCAAAAAGGAAUAAGAAAGUCCUAAACAGUAACCUAGGAAAAGAAGAAAAGCAACAGAAAUUGGACAGUAGAAGUACAGGAAAUGAGAGGAAGUAGAAAAGGAUAAAAAUCACUUCCGGUUUCAAAGCAGAAUUAAUUGAUAUCGCCAAAAAGUGACACCAGUGGUAAAGAAACUGCUGGCCAAAGCAGGAUACAUAAGGAAUGCUGGUUCAGUCCCUGGACUGAGAAAAUCCUCUGGAGUGGAUUGCCAUUCUCUUCUCCAGGGGAUCUUCCCAACCUAGGGAUCAAACCCAGGUCUCCUGCACUGCAGGUGGGUUCUUUACCAUCUGAGCCACUAGGGAGGCCCUUAACGAACAACUAAUGAAGUCCAGUAUAAUCCUAGGAUACAAAGAGGAAUUUAAUCUAUAAAUUGUGCUGCUGAUCCUUUUUACAUAAGUCACUGAGUACAUUUCACCAACUAUCUGUGAGACCUCUGAAAAUACCUUAAUGCCUUUUCCCAAAAUAAUGUUGAUGUUACAUUUUUAUUAGAGAUAACAAAGCUGAGUGCAAAAGGGCACAUAUUUGCAUGAAUACCGUACUCUAGAAUGCAAGGGAAGUUUUAAGAUUUCAGAUUUGGACAAUAAAGACAAUGCUCUUUCUGUGGAAAAAAAAAAAAAAAAAAAGCUGAGUCUGUGCUUCCCUUUCUGAGAUCUUUUCAGCAGAACAUAGCAUGCUUCCGUGCCCCAUCCCUCCACUCUACCUGAAGCAUACAUUCCUGGUUGAUUUAAUUUGCUCGAGUCUGAUUUUGGGUAUUCUCAUAAAUUUGUACUAUGUUUAAAAAAAGAAAAAAGAAAAGGAAAGAUAUGCUUUCCCAGUAAACUCUCCCUCCAGAGGCCCUUUAUUCAAAGGGGCUUUGGGAGUUUCCUUCCCUAGAUUAGAGAUCCUGAUACCAUGUUUCCCAAAACUAUACUGUUUGAGUCCUGAUUAACUUAGUUUGAGUAAAAACUCUUUUGAUUAGCAGAAAAAGUAGCAAGAGUAAAUGACAGUGGCAUUACUAGGUCCUAAAAUGACUGCAUAUGGACAUGAGAUCUAGGUGGCCUUUGAUUAUUGUACAACUUGUCACCACUUCUUCCUAACAGAUAAAGACCCAUUGGUGCUUUAUUCAUUCGGAAGAUGCAUCAUAGGCUUGACUUGCCUUAAGCUUUUGCUGGUGUGUGGCCUUGGGAGAGAGACUCAGGAAGGGAAAGUCUCCAUAUUAUUCAGGAUACAAAUGACAGUGCCACCUAUUUCAGAGGACAUCCUGAAGGAAAGAAAAUUUAUCAGACAAAACUUCCCCUUGGCCAGUGCUUACAAAUGUGUCUAGUGGCACAUUUCCCACUCGGGUAUGAUUCAUUUUGAAAUUUUAAGGGCUGAAUUUGAU
ensembl:lncRNA